CUCAUUCUUUUCAGUAAAUCCUCUCGCUGCGUGGUGAGAAAACUGAUGCCUGGAGUCUGUGACCUGCCUAGGACCACAGAACUCGAGAAUUCCGUCUACCAGGAACGGCAGGAAUGCUAUGCGUUCAAUGGGACUCAGCGCGUUGUGGACGGGCUCAUCUACAACCGGGAGGAAUACGUGCAUUUUGACAGCGCAGUGGGGGAGUUCCUAGCAGUGAUGGAGCUGGGGCGGCCCAUAGGCGAGUACUUCAAUAGCCAGAAGGACUUUAUGGAACGGAAGCGAGCCGAGGUGGACAAGGUGUGCAGACACAAGUACGAGCUGAUGGAGCCACUCAUCCGGCAGCGCCGAGGAGACGUAACCAUAACUGCUGUUAGGGGGUGUUGGACGACGAUUCUUUCUGGCUACUUCCUGCUGAAAAGGGGCGUCGUGUCGGGGGGCUGCAGUUGGGGCUCCUCCUGAGGUUGAUCUAAGGCUUCUUGGAAGAAUGGCAUGUCCAUGUGUGGCUUUGUUUGCAGCACCAUUUGAAGUUUGAUUGCUUCUAGGCAAAAAGAGAUAAAUUUUACAAGAAGGUUUAAAAUAUAGGGUUACCAUAUGAGUAUUAAGAUUACCACCUAUAGACUGUAACUAUGGCAGUAGAGUUUGAUACCUGUUACACCAAUGGAUUGUAAUACUGGUUUGUCUCCACUAGAUGUCGCUGUACAUUACCAGAAACGUUAAUAUAAAAGCAUCAUUUCCUUUGAGAAAA
rnacentral:lncRNA from 1 species